rnacentral:rRNA from 1 species
UACGGAGGGUGCAAGCGUUAAUCGGAAUUACUGGGCGUAAAGCGUGCGCGGGCGGUUUGUUAAGUCUGUUGUGAAAUCCCCGAGCUCAACUUGGGAAUUGCAAUGGAUACUGGCAGGCUGGAGUAUGGUAGAGGAAGGUGGAAUUCCCGGUGUAGCAGUGAAAUGCGUAGAGAUCGGGAGGAACACCAGUGGCGAAGGCGGCCUUCUGGACCAAUACUGACGCUCAUGCACGAAAGCGUGGGGAGCAAACAGG